rnacentral:rRNA from 1 species
CUACGGGCUGCUCCAGUGAGGAAUAUUGCACAAUGGGGGGAACCCUGAUGCAGCAACGCCGCGUGGGGGAUGACGCAUUUCGGUGUGUAAACUCCUUUUAUAUGUCAAGAAAAUGACGGUAGCAUAUGAAUAAGCACCGGCUAACUCAGCGCCAGCAGCCGCGGUAAUACGGAGGGUGCAAGCGUUACUCGGAAUCACUGGGCGUAAAGGACGCGUAGGCGGGUUGGAAAGUCAGGUGUGAAAUCCUACAGCUUAACUGUAGAACUGCACUUGAAACUUCUAAUCUAGAGUAUGGGAGGGGGAGAUGGAAUUAGUGGUGUAGGGGUAAAAUCCGUAGAUAUCACUAGGAAUACCUAAAGCGAAGGCGAUCUCCUGGAACAUUACUGACGCUAAGGCGUGAAAGCGUGGGGAGCAAACAGGAUUAGAUACCCUUGUAGUC